AAUAGAGAGAGAGACAAUGGGGAAAUGGAGUCUAACACCCCGACUGAGGCUGAAUCGCACCAGAGCCAGUGUUAGUCAAGCUUUGACUGAGGAAUGCCCAAAACAUUUCAACCAGACAUGGAGGCAUACAUGGAGACCUAACCAACUUAAGAGUCUUUGCUCUGUGUGGAAGGAAUACAACUGCUGCCUCAGUAGACCAACCACACCAAGAAUAUGUGAAGGGAAUCAUGUUUCCAUUUUGCAGAUGGGAAAUGGAGACUAAAUGGUUUUGUCAUUGGUUCCAGCUCAGAAGCCACCAACCUUUAG